CUCGGACGGACGUCAUGUAUGUUCCAGUUGCUGCCCAGUCAUAAGUGGAGAAUGUGGGGAGAGGGAAGAAUGCCGCAGGAACUCAUCAGACCAAGCAGCAUCUAUGGAUGGAGGAACUGCAGAGGGCUCUGGCUCAUCCAGAAGUGUGUUGACACGUUCGUGGUCAUGUGACUGAAGUGACAAGGCUCCUGCACUCCAUGACAUGAUGCAGCUGUGUGUGACUGUCUUACUGGACAUUAAGUUGGUUUAGAUCGAAUGCUGAUCGUUCACGCACCAGGAGUGACCAUUUAUUCGCACUACCUAACUUCAAGCUGCAUUACACAGGCUCC